CCUACGGGGGUCAGCAGUGAGGAAUAUUGGUCAAUGGACGAGAGUCUGAACCAGCCAAGUAGCGUGAAGGAUGACUGCCCUAUGGGUUGUAAACUUCUUUUAUAUGGGAAUAAAACGUUCCACGUGUGGGAUUUUGUAUGUACCAUAUGAAUAAGGAUCGGCUAACUCCGUGCCAGCAGCCGCGGUAAUACGGAGGAUCCGAGCGUUAUCCGGAUUUAUUGGGUUGAAAGGGAGCGGAGGGGGAUUGUUAAGGCAGUUGGGAAAGUUUGCGGCUCAACCGUAACACUGCAUGUGAAACUGGCAGUCUUGAGUACAGUAGAGGUGGGCGGAAUUCGUGGUGUAGCGGUGAAAUGCUUAGAUAUCACGAAGAACUCCGAUUGCGAAGGCAGUUCACUGGACUGCAACUGACACUGAGGCUCGAAAGUGUGGGUAUCAAACAGGAUUAGAUACCCCAGUAGUC
rnacentral:rRNA from 1 species